rnacentral:lncRNA from 1 species
CUUUAUGGAUUUGUGUAGCAUGGAAUAUUUGGAUUCACAUAAAUGAAAAGGUCUUUAAGGCUUUACCAAGCAGCUACGAGGAUUUGAUCGAGUUAAAUAAAGUGAGGUUUUGGUUCUAGAUAUCUAAUCUUCUUCCUAGCACUUCUUGUUAUAGGUUGGGGGAUUGGUUAUGUAAUCCUUCUCUUUGUUUUGAUUAUUUGGGAUAAUGUCUUUUGUUUUGUUCCUUAGAACUGUGUAUCAGUUUUUCGGUUGCAC